rnacentral:rRNA from 1 species
UACGUAGGGUGCGAGCGUUAUUCGGAAUUACUGGGCGUAAAGGGUGCGCAGGCGGCCGCGCAAGUCUGGCGUGAAAGCCCCGGGCUCAGCCCGGGAAGUGCGCUCGAAACUGCGCGGCUCGAGUGCCGGAGGGGAGAGUGGAAUUCCUGGUGUAGCGGUGAAAUGCGUAGAUAUCAGGAGGAAUACCGGUGGCGAAGGCGACUCUCUGGACGGCAACUGACGCUGAGGCACGAAAGCGUGGGGAGCAAACAGG